GGGUUGUUGAUCCAGUGGUUAAGAUGGCUGCCUUCCAUUACUUGGAAGAUAUAGCAGCUUACCGGGGUUCGAAUCCCCGACAACUCA
rfam:Trichosporon asahii var. asahii CBS 8904 unplaced genomic scaffold scaffold00035, whole genome shotgun sequence.